AAAACUCCGAAAAACCGGUGGUUAGAGCGUCUGCCUCUGAUGCAGGAGGUCGCGGGUUCGAACCCCGGCUGAAUCA